CGCAGGCGUAUGGGUUAGUCCCGUACGAGCGUCAACCUUGUCCCUAAUUGCCAGCACGUAAUGCGGGGAACUCUAGGGAGACUGCCGGUGACAAACCGGAGGAAGGUGGGGACGACGUCAAGUCAUCAUGGCCCUUACGGCCUGGGCUACACACGUGCUACAAUGGGCAGUACAGAGGGCAGCAAAGUCGCGAGGCCAAGCAAAUCCCUUAAAACUGUUCGUAGUCCGGAUUGGAGUCUGCAACUCGACUCCAUGAAGUCGGAUCGCUAGUAAUCGCGGAUCAGAAUGCCGCGGUGAAUACGUUCCGGGCCUUGUACUCACCGCCCGUAUA
rnacentral:rRNA from 1 species